GUUUAUAUGUCCCAGCCCUCUCGGAGGAAGUCGUCACGUGUAGAAUUAUAUCUACACAUAAUACAGCGUGUGUUUGUACGUACAACAGCGAGAAUGGAAGCAGAAGAAACUUGCUGUGAAAACGGAAAUGGCUGCUGAAUGUGAAGGAAAGCUUAUUUUGGGAUAUUUGCAGGUACUUAGCAGAAAUGACUGUCAGGCGUCCUUACUGGUAGAAGAAAUCUGCCACUUGACCAGCAUCACUGUCCAGGUCAGCGGUCACCUCCUUACCUCUAGGCCACUCUCACAGGGGGGUUCUGACUCCUACCUAGGUAAACUCGUUUCCCUAUGAUGUGGUGCAUUUGAAGGUUUGUCUCUCAGACCCCAGGACUACAGAAAUGGUGGACAUUACCCUUACCUAGGACUUGGUUGAAAGAGGAGUUGUUAGUGGGCAGACUAUUUUUUCUCGUCACAUCUAUACCUGCUGGUGGAGGCUGAAUACUUCAAUAAACAUUACUGUGGUCUUCCUGAGAUGUAUCAAUCAGUGGAAGUUCUCAUUUCCUCUAAGAAG